GCCCGGUUAGCUCAAUCGGUAGAGCGUGAGACUCUUAAUCUCAAGGUUGCGGGUAAGUUAUUAUUACUAGCACCAAAAAGAAAGAUUGAGAAUUUGUUUAAGUACUGACCUCUCGGCAUAGGUUCGACCCCCGCAUUGGGCU